rnacentral:rRNA from 1 species
CCUACGGGUGGCAGCAGUAGGGAAUAUUGCUCAAUGGAGGAAACCCUGAAGCAGCAACGCCGCGUGAAGGAUGAAGGUUUUCGGAUUGUAAACUCCUUUUUUUAGAGAAGUUAAUGACGGUAUCUAACGAAUAAGCACCGGCGAACUCCGUGCCAGCAGCCGCGGUAAUACGGCGGGUGCAAGCGUUACCCGGAAUCACUGGGCGUAAAGGGCGCGUAGGCGGGUUAGCAAGUCAGAUGUGAAAUCCUAUGGCUUAACCAUAGAACUGCAUUUGAAACUGUUAUUCUUGAGUAUAGGAGAGGUAGGUGGAAUUCUUGGUGUAGGGGUGAAAUGCGUAGAGAUCAAGAAGAAUACUCAUUGCGAAGGCGGCCUACUGGACUGUAACUGACGCUGAGGCGCGAAAGCGUGGGGAGCAAACAGGAUUAGAUACCCUAGUAGUC